UUUAGUUUGGUCUAUGGGUCAAAUUCCAUGAUACCAGUGGAUAUACAAGAGAAUUCUCCUAGGUUCCAAAGCUUUGUUGUUGAGGAAUCUAGCGGAGGAAGGAAGGUAAACCUGGAUUUGUUGGACAAAGUGCGUGAACAUGCCUGUAUUAACUCGGAGGAUUUAAAGAGAAGGGUGGAGUUAAAGCAAAAGACCAAGACGAAACCUUGGCAGUUCAAGGUUGUCGACUUGGUGAUGCGAAAGGC
rnacentral:lncRNA from 1 species